GUGCUUACUUCAGCAGUACAUAUACUAAAAUUGGAAUGAUACAGAGAAGAUUAGGAUGACCCCUGAACAAGGAUGACAUGCAAAUUUGUGAAGCAUUCCAUAUUAAA
rnacentral:snRNA from 1 species